rnacentral:rRNA from 1 species
GAUGAACGCUGGCGGCGUGCCUAAUACAUGCAAGUCGAGCGAACAGACGAGGAGCUUGCUCCUCUGACGUUAGCGGCGGACGGGUGAGUAACACGUGGAUAACCUACCUAUAAGACUGGGAUAACUUCGGGAAACCUGAUCUAAUACCGGAUAAUAUAUUGAACCGCAUGGUUCACUAGUGAAAGACGGUUUUGCUGUCACUUAUAGAUGUAUCCGCGCCGCAUUAGCUAGUUGGUAAGGUAACGGCUUACCAAGGCAACGAUGCGUAGCCGACCUGAGAGGGUGAUCGGCCACACUGGAACUGAGACACGGUCCAGACUCCUACGGGAGGCAGCAGUAGGGAAUCUUCCGCAAUGGGCGAAAGCUUGACGGAGCAACGCCGCGUGAGUGAUGAAGGUCUUCGGAUCGUAAAACGCUGUUAUUAGGGAAGAACAAAUGUGUAAGUAAAUAUGCACGUAUUGACGGUACCUAAUCAGAAAGCCACGGCUAACUACGUG